GACGAACGCUGGCGGCGUGCUUAACACAUGCAAGUCGAACGGAAAGGCCCUGCUUUUGUGGGGUGCUCGAGUGGCGAACGGGUGAGUAACACGUGAGUAACCUGCCCUUGACUUUGGGAUAACUUCAGGAAACUGGGGCUAAUACCGGAUAGGAGCUCCUGCUUCAUGGUGGGGGUUGGAAAGUUUCGGCGGUUGGGGAUGGACUCGCGGCUUAUCAGCUUGUUGGUGGGGUAGUGGCUUACCAAGGCUUUGACGGGUAGCCGGCCUGAGAGGGUGACCGGCCACAUUGGGACUGAGAUACGGCCCAGACUCCUACGGGAGGCAGCAGUGGGGAAUAUUGCAAAAUGGGCGGAAGCCUGAUGCAGCAACGCCGCGUGCGGGAUGACGGCCUUCGGGUUGUAAACCGCUUUCGCCUGUGACGAAGCGUGAGUGACGGUAAUGGGUAAAGAAGCACCGGCUAACUACGUG
rnacentral:rRNA from 1 species